rfam:Triticum aestivum genome assembly, contig: Triticum_aestivum_CS42_TGACv1_scaffold_222615_3B
AUUAUACUCCCUCUGUCCCGAAAUACUUGUUGAAGAAAUGGAUAAAAAUGGAUGUAUCUAGAACUAAAAUAAGUCUACAUACAUCCAUUUUUUCAACAAGUAUUUCCGGUCGGAGGGAGUAGUUG